rnacentral:ncRNA from 1 species
UGUUAAGAGGUUGCCUCUGUCGUUACCUGCUCAAGCAGAUACGGGAAUGCAACUGCUGA